rnacentral:rRNA from 1 species
UACGGGGGGGGCAAGCGUUGUUCGGAAUUACUGGGCGUAAAGGGCUCGUAGGCGGCCAACUAAGUCAGACGUGAAAUCCCGCGGCUUAACCGGGGAACUGCAUCUGAUACUGGAUGGCUUGAGUUCGGGAGAGGGAUGCGGAAUUCCAGGUGUAGCGGUGAAAUGCGUAGAUAUCUGGAGGAACACCGGUGGCGAAGGCGGCAUCCUGGACCGGCACUGACGCUGAGGAGCGGAAGCCAGGGGAGCAAACGGG